UCUUAUAGAUGAGCAAAGAAAGUAGUUUCUUGAGAUAAAAUCUACUUUUGGAGAAGAUACUAUGGA
rnacentral:pre_miRNA from 1 species